rnacentral:misc_RNA from 1 species
CAUUCUCAAGCUGGAUGCUUUUUUCUUUUAAAAAGUUUUAUCCUAGCUUGGUUUUGGGCAUUGCGGUGCCCCCUUUAUUGGGGAACCGCUGGCCUUAAAAGUAUUAGCUGGCCCUCGUGUGGGAUUGGUUAUCCUCAGCGUGAUAAUAAUUUGUGACUGCUGGGGACAUCUUUCAGGAUGGCCAAGUUCCGCUCAAGGGUUGCUUCUAAUCUGUGGUUUCUAUAUUCUUUGAAUAUGGUCCCCACUUGCUCACAA